rnacentral:rRNA from 1 species
GUGUGUUCCAGGUAAAUCCGGUUCACUUUAACACUGAGGCGUGACGACGAGGCACUACGGUGCUGAAGCAACAAAUGCCCUGCUUCCAGGAAAAGCCUCUAAGCAUCAGGUAACAUCAAAUCGUACCCCAAACCGACACAGGUGGUCAGGUAGAGAAUACCAAGGCGCUUGAGAGAACUCGGGUGAAGGAACUAGGCAAAAUGGUGCCGUAACUUCGGGAGAAGGCACGCUGACACGUAGGUGAAGUGAUUUACUCAUGGAGCUGAAGUCAGUCGAAGAUACCAGCUGGCUGCAACUGUUUAUUAAAAACACAGCACUGUGCAAACACGAAAGUGGACGUAUACGGUGUGACGCCUGCCCGGUGCCGGAAGGUUAAUUGAUGGGGUCAGCGCAAGCGAAGCUCCUGAUCGAAGCCCCGGUAAACGGCGGCCGUAACUAUAACGGUCCUAAGGUAGCGAAAUUCCUUGUCGGGUAAGUUCCGACCUGCACGAAUGGCGUAAUGAUGGCCAGGCUGUCUCCACCCGAGACUCAGUGAAAUUGAACUCGCUGUGAAGAUGCAGUGUACCCGCGGCAAGACGGAAAGACCCCGUGAACCUUUACUAUAGCUUGACACUGAACAUUGAGCCUUGAUGUGUAGGAUAGGUGGGAGGCUUUGAAGCGUGGACGCCAGUCUGCGUGGAGCCGGCCUUGAAAUACCACCCUUUAAUGUUUGAUGUUCUAACGUGGACCCGUAAUCCGGGUUGCGGACAGUGUCUGGUGGGUAGUUUGACUGGGGCGGUCUCCUCCUAAAGAGUAACGGAGGAGCACGAAGGUUGGCUAAUCCUGGUCGGACAUCAGGAGGUUAGUGCAAUGGCAUAAGCCAGCUUGACUGCGAGCGUGACGGCGCGAGCAGGUGCGAAAGCAGGUCAUAGUGAUCCGGUGGUUCUGAAUGGAAGGGCCAUCGCUCAACGGAUAAAAGGUACUCCGGGGAUAACAGGCUGAUACCGCCCAAGAGUUCAUAUCGACGGCGGUGUUUGGCACCUCGAUGUCGGCUCAUCACAUCCUGGGGCUGAAGUAGGUCCCAAGGGUAUGGCUGUUCGCCAUUUAAAGUGGUACGCGAGCUGGGUUUAGAACGUCGUGAGACAGUUCGGUCCCUAUCUGCCGUGGGCGCUGGAGAACUGAGGGGGGCUGCUCCUAGUACGAGAGGACCGGAGUGGACGCAUCACUGGUGUUCGGGUUGUCAUGCC